rnacentral:rRNA from 1 species
UUGCCUAUGGGACGCAGCAGUGGGGGAUAUUGCAUAAUGGGGGGAACCCUGAUGCGGCGACGCCGCGUGGGUGAAGAAGCGCCUCGGCGCGUAAAGCCCUGUCAGCAGGGAAGAAAAUGACGGUACCUGAAGAAGAAGCCCCGGCUAACUACGUGCCAGCAGCCGCGGUAAUACGUAGGGGGCAAGCGUUAUCCGGAUUUACUGGGUGUAAAGGGGGCGCAGACGGCGAUGCAAGCCAGGAGUGAAAGCCCGGGGCCCAACCCCGGGACUGCGCUUGGAACUGCGCGGCUGGAGUGCAGGAGGGG